rnacentral:rRNA from 1 species
AGUGGCGGACGGGUGAGUAACGCGUGAGAAUCUGCCUUGGGGUCGGGGACAACCACUGGAAACGGUGGCUAAUACCGGAUAAGCCGAUUGGUGAAAGAUUUAUUGCCCGAAGAGGAGCUCGCGUCUGAUUAGCUAGUUGGUGAGGUAAGAGCUCACCAAGGCAGCGAUCAGUAGCUGGUCUGAGAGGACGAUCAGCCACACUGGGACUGAGACACGGCCCAGACUCCUACGGGAGGCAGCAGUGGGGAAUUUUCCGCAAUGGGCGAAAGCCUGACGGAGCAAGACCGCGUGAGGGAGGAAGGCUCUUGGGUUGUAAACCUCUUUUCUCAGGGAAGAAGCUCUGACGGUACCUGAGGAAUCAGCCUCGGCUAACUCCGUGCCAGCAGCCGCGGUAAUACGGAGGAGGCAAGCGUUAUCCGGAAUUAUUGGGCGUAAAGCGUCCGCAGGUGGCGAUUCAAGUCUGCUGUCAAAGCACGGGGCUUAACUCCGUAAAGGCAGUGGAAACUGAAUAGCUAGAGUGCCGUAGUGGUAGAGGGAAUUCCCGGUGUAGCGGUGAAAUGCGUAGAGAUCGGGAAGAACAUCGGUGGCGAAAGCGCUCUACUGGACGGCAACUGACACUCAGGGACGAAAGCUAGGGGAGCGAAUGGGAUUAGAUACCCC